rnacentral:rRNA from 1 species
AAGACCUUGCGCUUUUGGAGCGGCCGAUGUCUGAUUAGCUAGUUGGUGGGGUAAAGGCCUACCAAGGCGACGAUCAGUAGUUGGUCUGAGAGGACGACCAGCCACACUGGGACUGAGACACGGCCCAGACUCCUACGGGAGGCAGCAGUGGGGAAUUUUGGACAAUGGGCGCAAGCCUGAUCCAGCAAUGCCGCGUGAGUGAAGAAGGCCUUCGGGUUGUAAAGCUCUUUCAGUCGAGAAGAAAAGGCUGUGGUAAAUAAUCACGGCUCAUGACGGUAUCGACAGAAGAAGCACCGGCUAACUACGUGCCAGCAGCCGCGGUAAUACGUAGGGUGCAAGCGUUAAUCGGAAUUACUGGGCGUAAAGGGUGCGCAGGCGGUUUUGUAAGUCAGAUGUGAAAUCCCCGGGCUUAACCUGGGAAUU